rnacentral:rRNA from 1 species
CAGCAGCCACGGGAAUACGAAGGGUGCAAGCGUUACUCGGAAUUACUGGGCGUAAAGCGUGCGUAGGUGGUGGUUUAAGUCCGUUGUGAAAGCCCUGGGCUCAACCUGGGAAUUGCAGUGGAUACUGGGUCACUAGAGUGUGGUAGAGGAUAGUGGAAUUUCCGGUGUAGCAGUGAAAUGCGUAGAGAUCGGAAGGAACAUCUGUGGCGAAGGCGACUAUCUGGGCCAACACUGACACUGAGGCACGAAAGCGUGGGGAGCAAACAGGAUUAGAUACCCGGGUAGUUCCUGUCUCUUAUAC